GUGCUCACAUCAGCAACACAUAUACUAAAAUUGGAAUAAUACAAAGAAGAUUAGCAUGGCCCCUGUGCAAGAAAACAGGGUACUCACCUUGCGUGAGGACCACCUCAGAUUG